GAGAUCUCUGUGGAAAACUAGUCAGUUAGGUCAGACGUGAGUCACUAGAGGAGCAUUAGCAGAGAAAAUGGCUACAACAUCCUGUAAUAAAUGUGGGUUGAAGAAAAACUACAAUGGAUCACUACCGUUUAAAUGUAAGUGUGACUCUGAAGAAGAGCCCUCCCCUUUUUCUCUGAUGAGCAAUGCGUUGGUUGCAUCACACAGUAACAGCAGCGUCCAGAGGUCCAUGGUCGUACCGAGUAACGGGGCAAUGACUCGACAUCACAACGAUUUGGAGCGAGGCAUACAAACAUAUCAACGUGUAGUCAUGAAGAAUGGCAGAGCUGUUGAAACCGAAGAAUACAGGUUUUAUUCAACCAAUUAAAGGAUACUUGAAGAAUACAGAAGAGCAGUUUUUAAUGUAACUAAAAUGCUGUGGGGUCUUUCUGUGCUGAAAUAUAGAAUAGAUUAACGACUGUUGUCUUAAUGCUUGGUCUAAAUUAGAUGAUCAUACUGUCUACUAACUAUUAGCUUUACUAUCCUUGUAUGUUGCUUUACCAUACUUGUACUUGUCCGGGUUGAUAAGAUAUCUACUGUGUAAUGUCAAUAAACUGAGUUGGAAGUUUAUAAUAUAUUAACAUGUUGCCAUUAAAUCUGAAC